CAGACCAACCGCUCUGACAGAUGAGCUCCAAGUUUGCUGAGGGGAACUGCACAGCCGACGACGACCUUAAAAAACUCGAACUACGCUAAUAUGACAAGCUCCACACAGGACAGUGGCUGACAGGAGAAGCAGCACCAGCAACAGAGAUCAUUAAUUUGAUAGACUCACAGAAAAGGAGAGAGAGCCCUAACUAUACAGAACAUCCCAUGCUAAGAAAACUACUACAGCAACACACUUGGUCCAUCUCUUGCACCAUCACACUAUCAUCACCUGAUGCCGUGGAAUCCUGUGUUGUCUCCCUGAGCCACUGGGGACCCUCAGUCCCAGAGCGGGACAUCCAGCCCUGAAUUCAGCUUCACACUGAACCCUCUAACCCCAGUCAAGCUGUCCCACCGUGCUUCAUCUCCCUGCUUCUCGCCUCCUCCUCCCUUUUCUCCUUUCUCCAGGCCC